GACGAACGCUGGCGGCGUGCCUAAUACAUGCAAGUAGAACGCUGAAAAGAGGAGCUUGCUCUUCUUGGAUGAGUUGCGAACGGGUGAGUAACGCGUAGGUAACCUGCCUUGUAGCGGGGGAUAACUAUUGGAAACGAUAGCUAAUACCGCAUAACAAUGGAUGACACAUGUCAUUUAUUUGAAAGGGGCAAUUGCUCCACUACAGGAUGGACCUGCGUUGUAUUAGCUAGUAGGUGAGGUAAUGGCUCACCUAGGCGACGAUACAUAGCCGACCUGAGAGGGUGUUCGGCCCCCCUGGGACGGAGACACGGCCCAGCCUCCUCCGGGAGGCAGCAUUAGGGAUUCUUCGGCAAUGGGGCAACCCUGACCGAGCAACGCCGCGUGAGUGUAGAAGGUUUUCGGAUCGUAAAGCUCUGUUGUAAGUCAAGAACGGGUGUGAGAGUGGAAAGUUCACACUGUGACGGUAGCUUACCAGAAAGGGACGGCUAACUACGUG
rnacentral:rRNA from 1 species